rnacentral:rRNA from 1 species
UGAGGAAUAUUGGUCAAUGGACGCAAGUCUGAACCAGCCACGUCGCGUGAAGGAAGACGGCCCUACGGGUUGUAAACUUCUUUUGUAAGGGAAUAAAGUGAGUCACGUGUGACUUUUUGCAUGUACCUUACGAAUAAGGAUCGGCUAACUCCGUGCCAGCAGCCGCGGUAAUACGGAGGAUCCGAGCGUUAUCCGGAUUUAUUGGGUUUAAAGGGUGCGCAGGCGGGAGAUUAAGUCGGCGGUGAAAUUUUGCAGCUCAACUGUAAAAGUGCCAUCGAUACUGGUUUUCUUGAGUGUGGAUGAAGUAGGCGGAAUUUGUGGUGUAGCGGUGAAAUGCAUAGAUAUCACAAGGAACACCGAUUGCGCAGGCAGCUUACUAAACCAUAACUGACGCUCAGGCACGAAGGCGUGGGGAGCAAACAGGAUUAGAUACCCUGGUAGUCCACGCAGUAAACGAUGAUUACUAGCUGUUUGCGAUACAAUGUAAGCGGCUGAGCGAAAGCGUUAAG